rnacentral:tRNA from 1 species
GGGAAUAUAGUUCAACGGAAGAACAAAUGGCUGUUAACCAUUCGAUGGGAGUUCGAUUCUCUCUAUUCCCGCCA